rnacentral:lncRNA from 1 species
CAGGAGGAAACAAGAUGCUGACUCAGCUGCUUCUGGGAUGGACUGCCCUCCUCAGUGGAGUCCAGCCGGCAGCUUCAGCUCUUACAACCAGAUUCCCAUCACUCAUCAGAAAUCAUCAGAAAUGUAAAAUCUUCAUUCCUCCUCCUCUUCCUCCUCCUCUGUUUCCUCCAAUCAAAUGGAAAUCAGAACUAAUGGUUGAUAUAACAGAGCACCUCAUAGGACCUAAAGGGGAAAAGGGGUGCAGAGGAGCCAGAGGACCUGAGGGUCAUCCUGGUGGGAAGGGUCCAGACGGAGAACUAGGAGUACAAGGAGCCAUGGGACCGCCAGGUCAAAAGGGAGAGAAGGGCGACAGAGGCUGGAGAGGCCUGUACGGAGACAUCGGAACACCGGGGAUGAUCAAG